AUGCACGCUGGCGGCGUGCCUCAUCCCUGCCAGUCGAGCGCACAGACGAGGAGCUUGCUCCUCUGACGUUAGCGGCGGACGGGUGAGUAACACGUGGAUAACCUACCUAUAAGACUGGGAUAACUUCGGGAAACCGGAGCUAAUACCGGAUAAUAUAUUGAACCGCAUGGUUCAAUAGUGAAAGACGGUUUUGCUGUCACUUAUAGAUGGAUCCGCGCCGCAUUAGCUAGUUGGUAAGGUAACGGCUUACCAAGGCAACGAUGCGUAGCCGACCUGAGAGGGUGAUCGGCCACACUGGAACUGAGACACGGUCCAGACUCCUACGGGAGGCAGCAGUAGGGAAUCUUCCGCAAUGGGCGAAAGCUUGACGGAGCAACGCCGCGUGAGUGAUGAAGGUCUUCGGAUCGUAAAACUCUGUUAUUAGGGAAGAACAAAUGUGUAAGUAACUAUGCACGUCUUGACGGUACCUAAUCAGAAAGCCACGGCUAACUACGUG
rnacentral:rRNA from 1 species